UACAGAGGGGGCAAGCGUUGUUCGGAAUUACUGGGCGUAAAGGGCGCGUAGGCGGCCUGUUAAGUCGGACGUGAAAUCCCUCGGCUCAACCGGGGAACUGCGUCCGAUACUGGCGGGCUUGAAUUCGGGAGAGGGAUGUGGAAUUCCAGGUGUAGCGGUGAAAUGCGUAGAUAUCUGGGGGAACACCGGUGGCGAAGGCGGCAUCCUGGACCGACAUUGACGCUGAGGCGCGAAAGCGUGGGGAGCAAACAGG
rnacentral:rRNA from 1 species